rnacentral:rRNA from 1 species
UACGUAGGGUGCGAGCGUUAAUCGGAAUUACUGGGCGUAAAGCGCGCGUAGGCGGACCUGCAAGUCGGGGGUGAAAUCCCCGGGCUCAACCUGGGAACUGCAUCCGAAACUGCCUUGCUAGAGUAUGGGAGAGGGAAGUGGAAUUUCCGGUGUAGCGGUGAAAUGCGUAGAUAUCGGAAGGAACAUCAGUGGCGAAGGCGACUUCCUGGACCAAUACUGACGCUCAGGUGCGAAAGCGUGGGGAGCAAACAGG